CGAAGGGGCUAGCGUUGUUCGGAUUUACUGGGCGUAAAAGCGCACGUAGGCGGAUUGUUAAGUGAGAGGUGAAAUCCCAGAGCUCAACUCUGGAACUGCCUUUCAUACUGGCAAUCUAGAGUCCGGAAGAGGUAAGUGGAACUCCUAGUGUAGAGGUGGAAUUCGUAGAUAUUAGGAAGAACACCAGUGGCGAAGGCGGCUUACUGGUCCGGUACUGACGCUGAGGUGCGAAAGCGUGGGGAGCAAACAGGAUU
rnacentral:rRNA from 1 species